AAUGAACGUUGGCGGCGUGGAUUAGGCAUGCAAGUCGAACGGGCUCGGUCUUCGGAUCGGGCCAGUGGCGCAAGGGUGAGUAAGGCGACGGUAACCAACCCCAUGGUCGGGUAUAGCCGCGGGAAACUGCGGGUAAUCCCCAGCGACGUGGAUCGUCGGCAUCGAUGAUCCACCAAAGCUCCGGCGCCGUGGGACGGGCCGUCGUGGUAUUAGGUAGUUGGCGGGGUAACGGCCCACCAAGCCUUUGAUGCCUACCGGGCGUGCGAGCGUGGCCCGGCACACUGGGACUGAGACACUGCCCAGACUCCUACGGGAGGCUGCAGUCGAGAAUCUUCGGCAAUGGGCGCAAGCCUGACCGAGCGACGCCGCGUGGAGGACGAAGGCCUUCGGGUUGUAAACUCCUGUCGAGGGGGAGGAAGGGGCAACCUUGACCGAUCCCUGGAGGAAGCACGGGCUAAGUUCGUGCCAGCCGCCGCAGUAACAC
rnacentral:rRNA from 1 species